rnacentral:rRNA from 1 species
AGACCCGAAACCCGGUGAUCUAGCCAUGGGCAGGUUGAAGGUUGGGUAACACUAACUGGAGGACCGAACCGACUAAUGUUGAAAAAUUAGCGGAUGACCUGUGGCUGGGGGUGAAAGGCCAAUCAAACCGGGAGAUAGCUGGUUCUCCCCGAAAGCUAUUUAGGUAGCGCCUCGUGAAUUCAUCUCCGGGGGUAGAGCACUGUUUCGGCUAGGGGGCCAUCCCGGCUUACCAACCCGAUGCAAACUGCGAAUACCGGAGAAUGUUAUCACGGGAGACACACGGCGGGUGCUAACGUCCGUCGUGAAGAGGGAAACAACCCAGACCGCCAGCUAAGGUCCCAAAGUCAUGGUUAAGUGGGAAACGAUGUGGGAAGGCCCAGACAGCCAGGAUGUUGGCUUAGAAGCAGCCAUCAUUUAAAGAAAGCGUAAUAGCUCACUGGUCGAGUCGGCCUGCGCGGAAGAUGUAACGGGGCUAAACCAUGCACCGAAGCUGCGGCAGCGACGCUGAUGCGUUGUUGGGUAGGGGAGCGUUCUGUAAGCCUGUGAAGGUGGCCUGUGAGGGUUGCUGGAGGUAUCAGAAGUGCGAAUGCUGACAUAAGUAACGAUAAAGCGGGUGAAAAGCCCGCUCGCCGGAAGACCAAGGGUUCCUGUCCAACGUUAAUCGGGGCAGGGUGAGU